AGUGUUCACUGUUGGCCUGUAU
rnacentral:miRNA from 1 species